CGAAAUGCGAUAAGUAAUGUGAAUUGCAGAAUUCAGUGAAUCAUCGAAUCUUUGAACGCACAUUGCGCCCAUUAGUAUUCUAGUGGGCAUGCCUGUUCGAGCGUCAUUUCAACCCCUAAGCACAGCUUAUUGUUGGGCGUCUACGUCUGUAGUGCCUCAAAGACAUUGGCGGAGCGGCAGCAGUCCUCUGAGCGUAGUAAUUCUUUAUCUCGCUUCUGUUAGGCGCUGCCCCCCCGGCCGUAAAACCCCCAAUUUUUUCUGGUUGACCUCGGAUCAGGUAGGAAUACCCGCUGAACUUAAGC
rnacentral:misc_RNA from 1 species